rnacentral:rRNA from 1 species
GACGUAGGGCGCGAGCGUUGUCCGGAUUUAUUGGGCGUAAAGAGCUCGUAGGCGGCUUGUCGCGUCGUCCGUGAAAACCUGCAGCUCAACUGCAGGCUUGCGGUCGAUACGGGCAGGCUGGAGUUCGGUAGGGGAGACUGGAAUUCCUGGUGUAGCGGUGAAAUGCGUAGAUAUCUGGAGGAAUACCGGUGGCGAAGGCGGCAUCCUGGACCAUUACUGACGCUGAGGCGCGAAAGCUAGGGGAGCAAACGGG